AGCGAUUUUGGAGAAGCGAAGUGCCCGCUAACUCGAUCACCGGCCCUCCUCCAGAACUUGUCGACGUUGUCAAAUCAGUCGAUGAGCUUGUCGGAACCCUAAUGCUCUUCAAUGCAUCUCUAUAUUUCCUAAGUAAAAUGGUCCUAUUCCUCGUAGCCAUAACCAAAAUCUGUCAAAAUUUUGGAAAAUAGAUCCGAAAUUAUUGAGAUAUCUUCUCAUAAUCAAUGGAGAAAGAGGACAGGAGGUGGCGUCGUCGGAGAUGAUGCAUUUGGGACAGCUAAGAUUGAAAUGCUGAGGUUGAGUCGUCUGGGAGGUUAGUUAAAGAAACAAUGAAAUUAAAAUUUAAAAAGGACACUGGCUUGUUUGUUUGUUUUUUCAACUGUUCA
rnacentral:misc_RNA from 1 species